rnacentral:rRNA from 1 species
AGUCACUGACAUUAGAUACCCGUGUAGUCCAGGGUGUAAACGCUGCAGACUUGGUGUUGGAAGCCCUUUGGGGGCAUUCAGUGCCGGAGAGAAGUUGUUAAGUCUGCUACUUGGGGAGUACGUCCGCAAGGAUGAAACUUAAAGGAAUUGGCGGGGGAGCACCGCAACGGGAGGAGCGUGCGGUUUAAUUGGAUUCAACACCGUAAAGCUCACCAGGGAAGACUGUUACAUGAAGGCCGAGAUGAAGACUCUGCUAGAUUUUCAG